GACGAACCGUACGAACGUUAUUCGGAAUCACUGGGCUUAAAGGGUGCGUAGGCGGCGAUAAAAGUUGGGUGUGAAAUCCCUCGGCUCAACCGAGGAACUGCGCCCAAAACUGUAUUGCUCGAGGGAGAUAGAGGUGAGCGGAACUUAGGGUGGAGCGGUGAAAUGCGUUGAUAUCCUAAGGAACGCCAGGGGCGAAAGCGGCUCACUGGAUCUCUUCUGACGCUGAGGCACGAAAGCUUGGGUAGCGAACGGGAUUAGAAACCC
rnacentral:rRNA from 1 species